CACAUGCAAGUCGAGGGGCAGCAUGGUCUUAGCUUGCUAAGGCCGAUGGCGACCGGCGCACGGGUGAGUAACACGUAUCCAACCUGCCGUCUACUCUUGGACAGCCUUCUGAAAGGAAGAUUAAUACAAGAUGGCAUCAUGAGUCCGCAUGUUCACAUGAUUAAAGGUAUUCCGGUAGACGAUGGGGAUGCGUUCCAUUAGAUAGUAGGCGGGGUAACGGCCCACCUAGUCUUCGAUGGAUAGGGGUUCUGAGAGGAAGGUCCCCCACAUUGGAACUGAGACACGGUCCAAACUCCUACGGGAGGCAGCAGUGAGGAAUAUUGGUCAAUGGGCGAGAGCCUGAACCAGCCAAGUAGCGUGAAGGAUGACUGCCCUAUGGGUUGUAAACUUCUUUUAUAAAGGAAUAAAGUCGGGUAUGGAUACCCGUUUGCAUGUACUUUAUGAAUAAGGAUCGGCUAACUCCGUGCCAGCAGCCGCGGUAAUACGGAGGAUCCGAGCGUUAUCCGGAUUUAUUGGGUUUAAAGGGAGCGUAGAUGGAUGUUUAAGUCAGUUGUGAAAGUUUGCGGCUCAACCGUAAAAUUGCAGUUGAUACUGGAUAUCUUGAGUGCAGUUGAGGCAGGCGGAAUUCGUGGUGUAGCGGUGAAAUGCUUAGAUAUCACGAAGAACUCCGAUUGCGAAGGCAGCCUGCUAAGC
rnacentral:rRNA from 1 species